rnacentral:rRNA from 1 species
GACGAACGCUGGCGGCGUGCUUAACACAUGCAAGUCGAACGGUGAAGCGCCUUCCUUUUUGGUGGGUGUGGAUGAGUGGCGAACGGGUGAGAAACACGUGAGUAACCUGCCCCCUUCUUCUGGAUAACCGCAUGAAAGUGUGGCUAAUACGGGAUAUUCUGGGUCUGUCGCAUGAUGGGUCUGGGAAAGAUAUUGUUUCGGUGGGGGAUGGGCUUGCGGCCUAUCAGCUUGUUGGUGGGGUGAUGGCCUACCAAGGCGGUGACGGGUAGCCGGCCUGAGAGGGUGGACGGUCACACUGGAACUGAGACACGGCCCAGACUCCUACGGGAGGCAGCAGUGGGGAAUAUUGCACAAUGGGCGCAAGCCUGAUGCAGCGACGCCGCGUGAGGGAUGGAGGCCUUCGGGUGGUGAACCUCUUUCGCCAGUGAAGCAGGCCUGCCUCGUUUGUGGGUGGGUUGACGGUAGCUGGAUAAGAAGCGCCGGCUAACUACGUG